ACUGAGCCGGGUAUGUAAAGGGAGACCGGCCGGCUGAGUCCUUUGAGGGUUGUAGGUGAGCAGAGGAGGUUGUGUUCCUGAGGUUCAGUUGGUGCAGUUUGUGGUUGCGGCCAUUAUGGCAGUGUACAUUUUUGGGCGAGUGCUGAAUUACAUCUGGCACAAAAUGAUGGAUUUGGGCAGAGGGAGUCUGGAGAGGAAAAGAGAGCCUGACCCCGAGAAUCCAUUGGAAGAUCCAAUUGAAAAUCCAUUAAAAGAUUCCUUUGAAGAUCCAUGGUAUGAAAUUAAGGAGGAAGAGAUAAUUGAAUGGAUCAAUCCAGUGGCGGGCUAAGGGCUAAAGAAAAAAAACAUGUAGAAGAUUCCAUCAUACUUACAAUGUUUAUUUAACAUCAAACUAUAAUAUAAAAUCAGUUAAAAAAUAAACAUUAAAAAAUCU